GGUCCACUUAACUGAAGAACAGCUGUUGAAGACGGCAAGAGCCAAAACAAUACCCAGUUCUCAACCAAAUAAGAUAUCUCUGAAAAGAGGAAAAAUGGUUGUGAGCUGCCAUUGUCCCAUUUUUAGGAGAAACUAUAGAAGGAACAGCAAGCAGUUACACAGAAAUGUAAAAUGGGAGUGUUAUAUGGAGACAUACAGCUUCGAGAAGCCCAUCCUUGGAAUUCCCCAGAAUCAUUCCAUCCUUGCCCUGUCCUGUCUUCCCGUUGUGAUGUUUUUUUUCUGCUGUUAAAGAGAGCUGAAGGUACUAGACUAUGCAGAGAAUAAAUAGGCCCCCAGACUUUCCUGGCGGGGUCCC
rnacentral:lncRNA from 13 species